UUAGAGUUUGCAGCAAUUUAUUUCACGGACACAAAAUAUAAAUAGACUUUUUAAAAUUCAUUAGAAGAACAUGGACAAUUAAGUUUUGCCUCGUAAACAUUUCUUUUAAAUUUAUCAACUAUAUAUAACAUUAGUGUGGGAGUGGAUAACGCCCUGGAUAGUUAUAUACAUUAAAUUUUUAAUACUUUUUGGAAUUGUUAAUCUUGUCUAUGAGAUGUUACGAUAUCUGUAUAAUCUAUUAUUUGGCUCCAACACACUACAACAUCAAUAUCAUGAACCAUCAUAUCAACCAGAAUCUUUUAAUCCAUAUGAGCAACGGAGAAUAACAAAUUUGAAUGAUGUGAAAGCGUAUAACUAUGAUCAUCAGCCAAUUUAUGUUGGAAGUAAAAUCGAAAGAUGUCGGUAUUUGAUACAAUGGCUCAAACGAAAGUUGAAUGCACGACAGGAAAAUGUGCUUGCUAUUGAUUGUGAAUGGAAUUCGUCGGGCUACGGUCGUGAACGGGUUGCUCUACUACAAUUGGCCACAUUAAACAAUUCGCAAAGCGGUGGUUGCAUUCUCAUUCGAUUGUGUAAAUUGAACAAGGAUGACAUUUAUCGGGAGCUAAAGGUAAACAUAAAAGCAUAUUUGGGCGACCAUUUUUAAUGUCAAAAUUAAAUAUCUUUGAACAUUUGAAAUAAUGGAAGACAGUGACAUUGUGAAGAUCGGCGUGGCUCCAUUCACUGAUGCAAAAUUUUUACGUGAUGAUUACGGUGUUCAUGUUAGAAGCACACUUGACUUACGCUAUAUGGCCCAUGCAGCUGGCCUUCCUCCCGGAGGAUUAGCAAAGAUGUCGGAAGAUUAUUUGGGUGUUUCACUCGAUAAGUCUUCGAAAUUUAGCGAUUGGGAAGCAGAGAUGUUAAGUGAGACGCAAAUCAAAUACGCCGCAGCAGAUGUAGUAAAUGCUAUUCGGUUAUUCAAAUACUUUGCCAGAUACAUUGAACGAUGCAAAGAGCAUAUGUAUGUAACCUUAUUGACAACAUCGCUUCAACGUGCUGAUCACAUGGCUGAUAUUCCAGAUUUGCGUAAUUGUACUUGUCACAAACCAAUAGAUGUAGAGCAUAUCAUUAACAAAUACUGUUUGGAAUAUGUUGAUAAAAAUUAUGGCCCUCCGAAAAGUUUAUGAAAACAUUAACUGAACUGAUUAGAAGACUCUAGUCGCUACGAAACGUCUUUUCAAACUGCCUUCUGGAAUCUCUAUGAACAAGUUGAUUUGACAAAUUUUGGCUUUAUACAAGCCUUAUACAAGACAACGAAAAUGUACAUUUUUUUUGAAAUUUUAUAGAUUUUUCUAUACGUAAUUCUAUUUUUCAUUCGAAUUUUAUUUUUUAUAUGAAUAUUUUUAUAUCAGUAUGCAAAAAUGCUUAAUUAAAAUACUCAUUGAAACAUAUAUUUUUUAUAUGCAAUCAAAUCUGGCUCAAAUAAAACUAAUUCAAUUGUUGUCAUUAUUUAAAUA